GGACUGACUGUACUCACCAGAGUUACAACAAUAAGCCAUUGUUGUUCUGAUGACUAUAGUGUCCCUUUAAGCAAACGGUGUAUUUUUUCAUUAAGCCAUAAUGCUGCUUCUUUAAAAGAUGUUGAUACUGUGCCAAUCAUAGUUUUAAUAUUAUAUAUAGAAAUCCCCUGUAUUUCUGUCCGCACUGUUUGUAUUAAUAGACCACUAACAAAUCAUGCUUUCAUUGCUUGUCAUAAG